rnacentral:rRNA from 1 species
GCUUACGGCCAUACCACCCUGAGCACGCCCGAUCUCGUCUGAUCUCGGAAGCUAAGCAGGGUCGGGCCUGGUUAGUACUGAGCAGGGUCGGGCCUGGAUGGGAGACCGCCUGGGAAUACCAGGUGCUGUAAGCU